CUAUGGGGAACUUGGCGCCACCGUCCAACAUUUUUUCACUCGCAGAAUAGCAAAGCCUUCAAACUUUGCUAUUUCUUCAGCAUCAGAGAUUGCAAACUAAACCAACCACCUGGAAGAAAAAAAACAGUACAAAACAUUAGCAUUUGAUUUUACAUAUUUCAAUCACAGCAACAAAGUUAACAAACAGCAAUCCAACAUUUGAAUGAACCAUAAAAAAAUAAAAAAUUGAAACUUGAGAGCUUCCAACAAUAAUACUUUAGGUUUAUGACAAAACACGCACAAAGAGCUUCUAAGAACACAAAAAACAAAAAAAACAAAAAAAAAAAAAAAAAAAAAAAACGCUUAUGGUAAACCAACAUCAUCAUUUCUUUCUAAAACUAAGAAAUAAAUACAUAUGACGCACGAUUUUGAAAAAAAGUAAAAGGAAAAACACACAAAACUUGUUAUACCAAAUUGCUCAACAAAAAAACAAAAAAAACUUGCUUUACUUAAACAUUAAAGAGAACAAUUAGGUAAGCAAAUCAAAGUGUAAUAAUAAAUGAAAAUUAAAGUUUAAAAUUAAAAAAGUGAAACUAAAAAUGAUUGAUUAAAGGUAAUAAGGUCGAGUAGCAACAUAACCCUCAUAUAAAAUAGAAAAAGAAGCAAAAUUGAAAGAGAAUUAACGAAAUUAAGACAGAAGAGAGAAAAAAACGGAGAAAAUGUAAAUGAAGUCGAGAAUUUGAAAUUCUUUAGAUGAGCUUGAAAAUCAAAUCUGAAGCACAAAUUAAGAAAAUCUUUGCUGAUCUUACAUGAAAUAGGAAGAGAUUAAGUGAAGAAAUGAAGAAACCCUAAAAUCUGAAAAGUGAAAGAAGAAAGAGUACCUGUGUUGACUUAAGUAUUGAAGUUAGUUCCGAUGAUGAAAAUUGAAAAGAGAGAGAAGAGAUCGAAGAAGAAGAAUGGAAAAAGGGAAAGAGAAAAUAAACAAGAUUGAGUUGAGUUGAGUUGAGUUGAGUUGAGUUGAGUUGUUCUUCUUCUUCCUCCCGUAC
rnacentral:lncRNA from 1 species